rnacentral:lncRNA from 1 species
GAGAGGGGGUGGCACAAGGCAGUGAGAUCACACUAGCAGCUGGGACUCAGGGUGGGAAGAUGCCUGGGAAGUCAGAAGGCAGUUAAGACCUCCACAACCUACACAUUUGCAGACACUAGUUUAAGCUACUGACUCCUUUAGUCUUGAACUCUCCUAAAGGUGGGGGAUCUUAACUGCAUUUGCAAUUACCAGAAAAGGUAAAUAAAUGGUAAACCGCUGAAUCCACUGGCAAUCCAAAUUGCGAGAUUUAAAGCUGGGCUGGGAAUUUGAGAAAAAUAGAGUUGGUAAAUUAGCUACUUGGUACAACUUCUACAGAUGUUUUUUUGUGAGCUCUGAGUUUCUGGAAAAGCUAAAGUUCCCUGCAGUCUCCACCUACUUCCAAAGCAGUCACCAUGGCUCGCUGUCAGCCAAGUUUCCUGCCAACAGUCCCUGUGUGGGGGAAGGAAAGAAUCAAAGAAGGACAACUGGACAAAGUAAUCUACAGACAGCUUACAACAGUGCUGCACACGAUUAAUCUGACUUCACAGUGAGACGCUGAGAAAGGUGAAGUAAGUGGACUGAGAGCCACAGCUCCCAAGGGCAGUGCUUGGAUAGGAACUCAGAUCUUUACCUUCAAAGAAAGCUACAGGACUCAGCAAACAUGCUUAGAUAUCUGCUUCAGUGUGAAACGUAUAAUGAAAGAAGACUUCAUAAGCAGCUGUUUCUUAAGAAGCUUGUGUUAUACAAAUAUGACACAGUUAAUGAACAGAACUAGAGAGCAAUCUGCUACAUCUGUCUUCAAAGGACAAGGAAGAUAGCAAUCAAUACUGUAUUUACGACGGCAUUUUUCACCUGAAAAGUUUCCACUUAUCUACCGCUUCUGUCUAAGAAAGACAGGCUUUUUUUUUACUUAAAAUUUCUCCCUUGCUGCUUAC